rnacentral:piRNA from 1 species
UCCCAGCCAUGGCUGCCUACCAGAAGGGG